AACGAACGCUGGCGGCAUGCCUAACACAUGCAAGUCGAACGAGACCUUCGGGUAUAGUGGCGCACGGGUGCGUAACGCGUGGGAACCUGCCCUUAGGUUCGGAAUAACUCCCCGAAAGGGGUGCUAAUACCGGAUAAUGUCUUCGGACCAAAGAUUUAUCGCCUUUGGAUGGGCCCGCGUUGGAUUAGCUAGUUGGUAGGGUAAAAGCCUACCAAGGCGACGAUCCAUAGCUGGUCUGAGAGGAUGAUCAGCCACACUGGGACUGAGACACGGCCCAGACUCCUACGGGAGGCAGCAGUGGGGAAUAUUGGACAAUGGGCGAAAGCCUGAUCCAGCAAUGCCGCGUGAGUGAUGAAGGCCUUAGGGUUGUAAAGCUCUUUUACCCGGGAUGAUAAUGACGGUACCGGGAGAAUAAGCUCCGGCUAACUCCGUG
rnacentral:rRNA from 1 species